rnacentral:rRNA from 1 species
GACGAACGCUGGCGGCGCGCUUAACACAUGCAAGUCGAACGGAAAGGCCUGCUUUCCCUUGUGGAUUGCGGGUACUCGAGUGGCGAACGGGUGAGUAACACGUGAGUGAUCUGCCCCCAACUUGGGUAUAAGCCUGGGAAACUGGGUCUAAUUCCCGAUAGGACUGCAGGGUGGUGCCUGUGGUGGAAAACGAUUUUCUAGUGGUUGGGGAUGAGCUCGCGGCCUAUCAGCUUGUUGGUGGGGUAAUGGCCUACCAAGGCGGCGACGGGUAGCCGGCCUGAGAGGGUGGACGGCGACAUUGAGACUGAGAUACGGCCCAGACUCCUACGGGAGGCAGCAGUGGGGAAGAUUGCACAAUGGGCGGAAGCCUGAUGCAGCGACGCCGCGUGGGGGAUGACGGCCUUCGGGUUGUAAACUCCUUUCGACCGCGAGGAAGCCACCUGGUUGGAAGGGUGGUGACGGUAGUGGUAGAAGAAGCACCGGCUAACUACGUG